rnacentral:rRNA from 1 species
GAUGAACGCUGGCGGCGUGCCUAAUACAUGCAAGUCGAGCGAACAGACGAGGAGCUUGCUCCUCUGACGUUAGCGGCGGACGGGUGAGUAACACGUGGAUAACCUACCUAUAAGACUGGGAUAACUUCGGGAAACCGGAGCUAAUACCGGAUAAUAUAUUGAACCGCAUGGUUCAAUAUUGAAAGACGGUUUUGCUUUCACUUAUAGAUGAAUCCGCGCCGCAUUAGCUAGUUGGUAAGGUAACGGCUUACCAAGGCGACGAUGCGUAGCCGACCUGAGAGGGUGAUCGGCCACACUGGAACUGAGACACGGUCCAGACUCCUACGGGAGGCAGCAGUAGGGAAUCUUCCGCAAUGGGCGAAAGCCUGACGGAGCAACGCCGCGUGAGUGAUGAAGGUCUUCGGAUCGUAAAACUCUGUUAUUAGGGAAGAACAAAUGUGUAAGUAACUAUGCACGUCUUGACGGUACCUAAUCAGAAAGCCACGGCUAACUACGUG